CCUACGGGUGGCAGCAGUGAGGAAUAUUGGUCAAUGGACGCAAGUCUGAACCAGCCAUGCCGCGUGCAGGAAGACGGCUCUAUGAGUUGUAAACUACUUUUGUACGAGGGUAAACGCAGAUACGCGUAUCUGUCUGAAAGUAUCGUACGAAUAAGGAUCGGCUAACUCCGUGCCCGCAGCCGCGGUAAUACGGAGGAUUCAGGCGUUAUCCGGAUUUAUUGGGUUUAAAGGGUGCGUAGGCGGUCGUAUAAGUUAGAGGUGAAAUCCCGAGGCCUAACUUCGGAAUUGCCGCUGAUACUGUUCGGCUAGAGAGUAGUUGAGGUAGGCGGAAUGUAUGGUGUAGCGGUGAAAUGCUUAGAGAUCAUACAGAACACCGAUUGCGAAGGCAGCUUACCAAGGUACUUCUGACGUUGAGGCACGAAAGCGUGGGGAGCAAACAGGAUUAGAUACCCCAGUAGUC
rnacentral:rRNA from 1 species